rnacentral:miRNA from 1 species
UGUAACAGCCGCUCCAUGUGGA